rnacentral:rRNA from 1 species
GUCUAUGGCCAUGCCACCCUGAACAAGCCGGAUCCUGUCUGAUCUCCGACCCUAAGCAGGGUCGGGCCUGGUUAGUACUUGGAUGGGAGACCACCUAGGAAGACCAGGUGCUGUAGGUG